rnacentral:ncRNA from 1 species
GAAUACUAUAAGCAACAGCUUGAAACUCAAAGGACUUGGCAGUGCUUCACAUCCCUCUAGAGGAGCCUGUUCUAUAAUGGAUAAACUCCGAUUCACCUCACCACCUCUGGCCUAGUCUAUAUGCCGCCAUCCUCAGCAAACCCUAAUAAAGGUUAUAAAGUAAGCAUAAGUGCCCCCGCAAAAAGUUAGGUCAAGGUGUAGCUUAUGAGGUGGUAAGAAAUGGGCUACAUUUUCUACCCCAGAAAACCCCACAAUAGCUCUUAUGAAAUCUAAGAGCCCAAGGAGGAUUAAGAGCACAGUGUUUAAUUGAAUAAGGCCAUAAAGCACGCACACACUGCCCGUUACCCUCCUCAAACAUAUUUAAGGAUCAACUUAACUAAACACCCCUCAUAUCUAUAUAGAGGAGAUAAGUCGUAACACGGUAAGUGUACUGGAAAGUGCACUUG